UGGGGAAUAUUGGGCAAUGGGCGAAAGCCUGACCCAGCGACGCCGCGUGGGUGAUGAAGGCCUUCGGGUUGUAAAGCCCUUUCGUGCGGAAAGAACAGUCCCGUAGUGAAUAUCUACGGGAUUUGACGGUACCGCAGGAAGAAGCACCGGCUAACUCCGUGCCAGCAGCCGCGGUAAUACGGAGGGUGCAAGCGUUGUUCGGAAUUAUUGAGCGUAAAGGGCGCGUAGGUGGUUGUGAUAGUCAGAUGUGAAAUCCUCUGGCUCAACUGGAGAACUGCAUCUGAAACUUCAUAACUCGAGUACAGGAGAGGGAAACGGAAUUCCCGGUGUAGAGGUGAGAUUCGUAGAUAUCGGGAGGAACACCAGUGGCGAAGGCGGUUUCCUGGCCUGAUACUGACACUGAGGCGCGAAAGCGUGGGGAGCAAACAG
rnacentral:rRNA from 1 species